UCGGAUUGCAGGCUGCAACCCGCCUGUAUGAAGUUGGAAUCGCUAGUAAUCGCGGAUCAGCAUGCCGCGGUGAAUACGUUCCCGGGCCUUGUACACACCGCCCGUCACACCAUGAGAGUCGGGAACACCCGAAGUCCGUAGCCUAACCGCAAGGAGGGCGCGGCCGAAGGUGGGUUCGAUAAUUGGGGUGAAGUCGUAACAAGGUACC
rnacentral:rRNA from 1 species